CCUCAAGGAAAAGACUCCUGGUCAGUGUAAAAAUGUGGAUCUUUGAAAAGCAUCAACGGGCAGGAGAUUCCAGUGAAGGCUUAAGGAUCCUGUAGCUAUGGGCUCCAGUGUUAACGACUGCGCUUCGGCUGAGAUGUGAGAGAUGCACAGCCUAAGUCAUCCCACACAGAGUGCCUGCCUGCCUGCCUCAGGCCUCGUGCUGAAGACAGAGAAAUGAGAUGUGACUCCUGCCCUCAAAGGCGACCCACUCUGGGCACAGUCAUAAAGAGGCGUCCCCACAGAUUCCUUUACCAAGGAUCUUCAGGAAUAUCGCAAGCCUUGGAGGCGGGUUGAGCAAGAAUCAUCUCCUUCGUACCAGAUGGAGGCUCAGAGAGGUCUUUCAUAUUGCGUGUUUGUUAGAGGAUUGUGGCUUCUGGAAACGGAAAAUCUGAAAAGGAGUUUUUCUACCGUCAGAUUCUCUUUCCCACUGGUGUUCCAGACCCAUGCAAGUUGACGGUCAGAAAUGAUCCACUGAAUUGAUGGUGGAGAUUUCAGAUCCUCCAGAAUCCUCAGCUCUUUCUGGCCCAGCUUUUUGCAUUGACGGAGCAGUGGAGUUUCCUGCCAGCCACUCUAUUUAGAGCAGCAUGAAUACACACACUCAACCCAAAGGACAGCGCUUAAUGAGGAGUGAUUUCUCUUGUUUCAGUUCUGAAGACAGAACCAUAGGGACUUCGGGGGUUCUUUUUCAUUGGGAGAUCACUAGCCUCAUCGCAAUCAGAAUCAUCUCAUCUGUCAGAGCCCAUAGCUACAGGACCUGGCUUCUUGACUUCUUAAGGUCCUACAAAAUAUUGCAGAGCUGAAAAAGAAAUCACCGGCUCUAAAACACAAAAGGAACACUGCAACA